GACGAACGCUGGCGGCGUGCUUAACACAUGCAAGUCGAACGGUGAAGCGCCUUCCUUUUUGGUGGGUGUGGAUGAGUGGCGAACGGGUGAGUAACACGUGAGUAACCUGCCCCCUUCUUCUGGAUAACCGCAUGAAAGUGUGGCUAAUACGGGAUAUUCUGGGUCUGUCGCAUGAUGGGUCUGGGAAAGAUAUUGUUUCGGUGGGGGAUGGGCUCGCGGCCUAUCAGCUUGUUGGUGGGGUGAUGGCCUACCAAGGCGGUGACGGGUAGCCGGCCUGAGAGGGGGACGGUAACACGGGGGAUUGAGACCGGGCCGGGCUCCGUACGGAGGGAAGGGGUGGGAAAAAUGGCAAAGGGGGGGCAGGCGGGAUGCAGCGCGCCCGGGGGGGGGUGGGUGCCUUGUGGUGUGGGACCUUUUUCGGACGGGGAGGAGGGCCUGCUUCUUUGGGGGGGGGUUGGCGGGAGGUGGAAAAAGAGGCGCGGGCAAACUAGG
rnacentral:rRNA from 1 species